rnacentral:piRNA from 1 species
CCUUGGCGUCAUCACCUCACUGAUGAAGGUGU